UACGGGAAGGGGGCUAGCGUUGCUCGGGAUUGACUGGGGCGUAAAGGGCGCGUAGGCGGUUCGUACAGUCAGACGUGAAAGUCCUGGGCUCAACCUGGGGGCUGCGUUUGAUGACGUGCGGACUUGAGUGCGGAAGAGGGUCGUGGAAUUCCCAGUGUAGAGGUGAAAUUCGUAGAUAUUGGGAAGAACACCGGUGGCGAAGGCGGCGACCUGGUCCGAUACUGACGCUGAGCGCGAAAGCGUGGGGAGCAAAGCAGG
rnacentral:rRNA from 1 species